GACAGCAUUGCAUAGUUGUUUGAGCAUUGGACUACAGCUCUGAAGACCAAGGUUCAAUUCCUUGCUCCGCCA